GCAAGUCGAGGGGCAGCGUGGAGGAAGCUUGCUUUCUCCGCCGGCGACUGGCGCACGGGUGAGUAACACGUAUGCAACCUGCCCCUGUCAGGGGGACAACCCGCCGAAAUGCCGGCUAAACCCUCGUACAUGCCACCGGGGCAUCACGGAGGCAGGAAAGGCAUUAGCCGGACAGGGAUGGGCAUGCGGCGCAUUAGGCAGUAGGCGGGGUAACGGCCCACCUAACCGACGAUGCGUAGGGGUUCUGAGAGGAAGGUC
rnacentral:rRNA from 1 species